CCCUUAGAUGUUCUGGGCCGCACGCGCGCUACACUGACGAAUGCAACGAGCUUAUAACCUUGGCCGAAAGGUCUGGGUAAUCUCCAAAUUUCGUCGUGAUGGGGAUAGAUUAUUGCAAUUAUUAAUCUUCAACGAGGAAUGCCUAGUAAGCGCAAGUCAUCAGCUUGCGUUGAUUACGUCCCUGCCCUUUGUACACACCGCCCGUCGCACCUACCGAUUGGAUGGUCCGGUGAGAAUUUCGGAUUGUAGAUACGUCGCUUUUAUUAGGGAUGUGUCCGCGAGAAGUUAUUCAAACCUUACCAUCUAGAGGAAGGUGAAGUCGUAACA
rnacentral:rRNA from 1 species